UCUGAAAACUCAACACCACUGGCUUAUUUGUCACGCGAAUCAGUGACUAAUACAAGGGAAAAUGUAUAAUGAAGUACUGGAGUGGGAAAUAUGAAACAUCAGUUAAGUUCUGGAGACAUUCAGAAGCAGCACGGCAAGUCGGAAAGCAAGACAGACAGGGUGCUUAGCAACCAAGCAUUUCAGCGAUGCCAUUUUUAAACAGGACUUACUUGGCUAGGACGGUGGACGUGGUGGGCUGUGGGUUAACAAGGGGGAAGUCUGCAGUGGGGGCGGUGCAAACAGCGGCAGAACAGCCGCGCCUGGGGUCCUGCCUGUCACAGCUGGCCUCGGAGUCAUUUCUAUCUGGCACGUGGAAGAAAACCUCUGAAGAGGGCAGCUCUGACUGCCAUGCAAAUACAUUUUCCUGCAACCGUGGAGACCAUGGCGGAUGCGUUUUGGUAGCGGUAGGAGCCAGCGUUAUUGAGUGUACUGUGAGGGUGAGUGAUCCGGGAUUGUGGGAGACAGUUGAAGUUUGGGGACUUGAUCUGGAAAAGAGACCACGGAGGGGGGGGGGCUGGGCCAGUAUGGAGCCUGUGCAAGGAUGGGCCUGGAAGAGACAUGACUCCAGGUAGUGGUACAGCCAAGAAGACAUCAGAGGAGGGACAGCUUGUGUGGCUGCUUCCUGUGGGAAGUUCUGCCCUCCAUCAGGCAAACUCCUCCAGCAGUAAAGUUUUAAUCAAACUGCAGCAUUAAGGAAGCACCUGAUGGGAAGGGCUUGCUUUCUUGUGCAGGCAUUACAGUGGGUGAGGGCUGCAGACAUAACCCUGUGCAAAUGCUGCUGGGUGGACACCUUGCUUUGGUCCCUUUUGAGAUUCCUGGAGUUUGCGGUAGCACUCUUGAGACACUUUCUCAUAUCCCCUUGCUCUGUUUCAGCGGGUAGGGAGGGUGUGUGUUUUUAAUGUCUCCAGAGUAAAGAACGCUGUACUUAUCAUCAGAUGACUUCGGUUUGAGUCUCGACACUGCCUUUGAACUCUGUCAGGUUACCCAGAAGAAGACUUCUCUGUCCUGUGGAAAGAGUGACUCCUGCCCUUCACACGCAGCUGAGGGCAAUCAAUUUAAGUCAUGCAUUUGAAGUGUUUUGGGAUAAUAAAUAUUUUACAACCAUCUUUUUGUAAUUAUUAGUCAUUUUUUGUUUCUAAUUUUUUAUGUUUUUUUGUCUUCACAUCUCUCCAUUAUUUCUGCCUGGCAUCCUUGCAGGAAAGGAAGGAAGCUGAGAACCCUGGUCCCAGAAGCCAGGCCAUCUCCACCAAGUGACUGAGGAAGGGGAAGGGGCCCCAUUUGAGAUGCUCAGGUCCAGAGAGGAAAUCCAAAGCCAAAGCCCAGGCCAGCUCUGGCUGGGUUCUGAUGGCAGACAGGCCUCAGUGUAGGUCAAGGCUCAGUCUAGGAUCUGGGUACAAUCAGACAUCAGGACUGGAGCUCAGUGUGGGCUGCAGACUUUGGUCUGAAGCUGGUAUGAAGGCUCCAAUAGGGCUGGGACUGUCUGGCAUUGGAUCAGUCAGAGUUGUUAUUUUCUUCAGUUUUUAUUUUUUUUAUUAGUGCAUGUUUUCAAUGCAUAAUGAUUACAUUCACGGAGUACUAUUCUGCCAUAAAGAAGGAUAAACUUGAGUCAUUUGUAGGAAAAUGGAUGUGCCAUGAGACCGUGAUGUUAAGUGAAAUAAAUUUAAGUAUUGCAUGGUUUCUCUUAUAUGAGAAACCCAAAACAUAAAGAAAGAGCAAGAGAGUUAGUAAUUUUUAAAUGGUACUGUUACAGUUUGUAUCCGAAUGUCCCCUCAAAGCCUGAUGCAGUCAGGGAGCAGGUUUCUAGAGUUUACAAUUAAUUUACUGUCAAAUGUUGGAAUUAUGGAUGUGAGUGCUACACCUGCCCUGGGGUGGGUAGUUUGCAUACAAUGUAAGGGAGGGAAAGAGGCUGCUUGCCGCAGCUCCUCCCUUGUGCUCUUGCUGCUUUUGCUAUCUUCCACUGCUAUGAACUGUUGCCUUCUGCCAUGUUCCACUCUGCCUUGGAGCCAGCUGAGUAUGCACUGAAACCUCCACAAACAGUAAGCUAAAUAAACCUUUUCUUCCUUCAAUUUGGGUGUAAGUUAUUUUGUCUCAGCAACGAGAGAAAAGUAACCAAGACAGGUACUGUGGACUGAAUUGUACCCCCCACCAAAGAUAUGUUGAACUUUUAAGGUCCAGUAUCUCUUAGCUGGAUCUUCUUUGAAAUAGGGUCCUUGCAGAUGUGCAUAGUUUAGAUGAGGUCCUGCUGGAGUCAUAUGGGCCCUUUAUCCACUAGGACUGAUGUACUCAUGUAGAGACAGAGGCACUGGGAAAAUGAAAAGAUGGAAGGACAGACUGGGGCAAGGUAUCCGUAAGCCAAGAAAGGCCACAGCACAGACUUGUUCUCAGAAGGAAUCAGUUUCUGCUGACAUCUGUAAAACUGUGAGAAAAUGAAUUUUUAUGGUUCUAAACCAUGCAGUUUGUGGCACUGUGUUACAGCAACCUGGGAAAUUGAUACAGAUGGUGAGUUAUUUGAAUCAAGAGAAAUGUAAGGAAGUUUUAAUAACAAUAUCUCAUUUCUUCUAUUUUGAUCUUUAUUUGUAUAUAUAUUUUGAGUUUCUCAUAUAAGAGAAACUGUAUGAUAUUUAAGGUCAUGUGUCUGACUUAUUUCACUUAACAUUAUAUUCUCCAGUUGCAUCCAUAGGAGAUAGAUCAGUAGAAAAUAGGGAGAAGUUCAAAUAAUUCCCUAAGUUAUCUGCUACAUUGUUUCAAAAAUAUUUUAAUACACAUGCUCAUUUGUUUCAGUUAUGGUACUAGUUUAUCUUACUUCAUUGAAAAGAAAGUUUUGUGCUGUUACCUGUUUAAUUCUUCUUUGUAGGACAGUCUUUUUUUGUCUGUCUUCCACUCCUAGUAGCUACUUUUCAGAUUAUUAUACACAGUAUUAACUCUUGUGAUUUUGUUACAAAAUUUUAUUUUUUCAUAAAAUAAAAGAAACAAAAUCCAAUUUCUAGAUAGUGCUUAUCCUACGACUGCACUACUUUUUUUUUUUUUUUUUUGGUCUUUCUCCGGUACCAGGAACCGAACUCACAACCUUACGCUUGCCAGGCAGGCGCUUUGCCACUGAGCUAAAUCCCCAACCCCUGCUGCACUACUUUCAAAGGAAUAUAAUCUCAUUCCUGCAGCUACCCUAUAGCAUAAGUAAAUUUUCUCUCAAUUUAGGAGUACCCUGAGGCUUACAGGCAUCAGUAACUCAGCCGGGAGACAUUUUAACACUCUUCUCUUUCUCCUACCCGACAGCACCUUUGUUUAGGUUAAUCAGCUUUUCCUGGUAGAGGUGCACUUUUCUAAGAGAGGUAAGGUAUGCUUCUUCCUCUGCUUCCCCGUAUGUAGCUUGCUCCCAACAUCUGUAAUUGAUGUGGAGUAACCUUUCUCUGCUCCGCUCACAUCUGUCCUCUCGGAGGCGCCGGGGUUGGAGGGGCUCCCUCUACCGGACUGAGACUGAAGCUCUUCGCUCUGACAAGAAGUGAGUGUCUCCAGGGACAGGAAGAAUGAAGCUCAUCUGGGCAGCCCUUGUCUUGGUGGACUUGGGGGGCCCUGUGGGUGGUGCCCAGUUCGUGCGGCUGUGCCUGCUCAUAGUGCCUUGACCAUCCCAGGCAGGGCCAGUGUGAGAAGAUGAGACAGAAUAAGGCCGUGGUGUGGCUACUGGCAGCGCCAUUCAGUGUAACGUGGCCUACCCAGAGAAAGCCUUACAACGGUGUUUUGUCUUCCUUUCUUACAUACUGUAGUGUGAAAUAUCUGUCUUCAUUGGGCUGUAACAAAAGCGAUGCAUCAUGACAUAAUAAAAAGUCUGCUGUGGUCCUAAGAAAAACGUUGAAACUGAAUACUUUCAGACCCUGAAUGUCGUGCUGUACUCACAAGGAGAAAUUAAUGAUUUAUUGCUUUGCCUAUUUGACUUCAUAAAAGUUUUAUGUCUCCGCAUUUUAAAUACUAUCCUUUGGCUGUCAGCCAGACCCUCAUCUUCCAAAAAUGUACUCCUGGGAGGAUUACUGAGAUUGGCUACAGCCCGCCCUGGAAAAUUGCUUGGUAUUAAACAAUUUCAUUUCCUAGCUUCCUUUUGUUUAGAAAAUUUAGAAGUUUCCCUAUAGACAGGAGAAAUUCAGCACUUAUUCUACCUAUAGACUUUCAAAUCAGAUCCUAGGUACUAUCGGAGUCCAAGGUUAUUUGCAUCUUUUUUACCCAGCCAUCUUUGCCCAUUUCCAUUCCUGCCUUAGAAACUUUGCUCUUCUCCAAGAUGUCCAGGUGCCCAGAUCCCUCUCAUCUUAUCUUGACUCAAAUGCCAACUUCUGGAGGAGACUCAUGCUGACCAGCCUAUCUAGCAAUGUGUGUGUCUUCCUUUUGCUAGAAUGGAAGCUCUGUGAGGCAAGGGUCUUUGUCUUAUUUAUUCAUUCACUGGUAAUUCUCCAAGUGUCUAGCACAGUACCUGAUGUUUAGUAGGGACAUGUAAUGCAAAGAGCAUUUCUUAAGUUAAUAAAUGAUAAUAACCAAGCUUUGAAUGUUAAAGAUGGAAGGAACCUUAGAAAAUAUUUGGUUCCAUGGUGAGAAAAUUUUUUCCCCAAGAGAGUUAAUUCAAGAAGAGUACAAAGAGAUUUAUGAGCAGAAUUUUUUUCAUUCAAAAUUAAAAUCCCAAGAGAGAAUAAUGUUCUUAAAUUUUAACCACCUACUUAAUUAUAUAGAAGAACAAUGAUGAGAAAUUUCAGUGAGAGUUGAGAUGGAAUAAGUACUCCUCACUGAUCACUCGGAGCUCCCACCACAUUUUAUAGAGUAGGAAGAGAUUGCCCAGAGAAGAGAAAUUUUUUUUUCUUCCUCAAAGUUGAGUAGCUGAUUGGAGAGAUUAAAGAAUAGACCUGAGAUAUCUUCAUUUCCACUGAUAUUCCUUCCACUGGCAAGAGAAAAAAAAACAAAAAAACCUCCAAACCCCAAGAAACCAGGCUUUAGUAUUUUUCUACUCAAUUAAACUUAAACAGGCAUUG
rnacentral:lncRNA from 1 species